CCUAUAUACCGCCGUCGCCAGCUUACCCUAUGAAGGCACCACAGUAAGCAGAAUGGGUACUACCCAGAACGUCAGGUCGAGGUGUAGCGUACGAAGUAGGAAGAAAUGGGCUACAUUAUCUGAUACAGAUCACUCACGGAAGGCUGCCUGAAACAGACAGCCCGAAGGCGGAUUUAGCAGUAAGGAAAGACUAGAGCGCUUCCCUGAAGUUGGCUCUGAAGCGCGCACACACCGCCCGUCACUCUCCCCAACAGUACUUGUACUUAGUAUCUAACACAAUAAUAACCGCAAGGGGAGGCAAGUCGUAACAUGGUAAGUGUACCGGAAGGUGCACUUGGAACAA
rnacentral:rRNA from 1 species